AGGACGAACGCUGGCGGCGUGCUUAACACAUGCAAGUCGAACGGAAAGGCCCGCUUGCGGGUACUCGAGUGGCGAACGGGUGAGUAACACGUGGGCAACCUGCCCUCAGCUCUGGGAUAACUCCGGGAAACCGGUGCUAAUACUGGAUAUCGACUUCUGCUCGCAUGGGUGGUUGUUGAAAGUUUUUCGGCUGGGGAUGGGCCCGCGGCCUAUCAGCUUGUUGGUGGGGUAAUGGCCUACCAAGGCGACGACGGGUAGCCGGCCUGAGAGGGCGACCGGCCACACUGGGACUGAGACACGGCCCAGACUCCUACGGGAGGCAGCAGUGGGGAAUAUUGCGCAAUGGGCGGAAGCCUGACGCAGCGACGCCGCGUGAGGGAUGACGGCCUUCGGUGUAAACCUCUUCAGCUCUGACGAAGCGAGAGUGACGGUAGGAGCAGAAGAGCACCGGCCAACUACGUGCCAGCAGCCGCGGU
rnacentral:rRNA from 1 species